GACGAACGCUGGCGGCGCGCUUAACACAUGCAAGUCGAACGGAAAGGCCUGCUUUCCCUUGUGGAUUGCGGGUACUCGAGUGGCGAACGGGUGAGUAACACGUGAGUGAUCUGCCCCCAACUUGGGUAUAAGCCUGGGAAACUGGGUCUAAUUCCCGAUAGGACUGCAGGGUGGUGCCUGUGGUGGAAAACGAUUUUCUAGUGGUUGGGGAUGAGCUCGCGGCCUAUCAGCUUGUUGGUGGGGUAAUGGCCUACCAAGGCGGCGACGGGUAGCCGGCCUGAGAGGGUGGACGGCCACAUUGGGACUGGGAUACGGCCCAGACUCCUACGGGAGGCAGCAGUGGGGAAUAUUGCACAAUGGGCGGAAGCCUGAUGCAGCGACGCCGCGUGGGGGAUGACGGCCUUCGGGUUGUAAACUCCUUUCGACCGCGAGGAAGCCACCUGGUUGGAAGGGUGGUGACGGUAGUGGUAGAAGAAGCACCGGCUAACUACGU
rnacentral:rRNA from 1 species